AUACUUACCUGGCAGGGGAGAAGGGGAGAUACCAUGAUCACAAAGGUGGUUUUCCCAGGUUCCCAGGGCAAGGCUUAUCCAUUGCACUCCGAAUGUGGUGACCCCUGUGUUUUCCCCAAAUGUGGGAAACUCUACUACAUAAUUUGUGGGAGUAGGGGACUGUGUUUGUGCUCUCCCCUG
ensembl:snRNA U1 U1 spliceosomal RNA